GCACACAUCCAGUUGCACCAAAUGAGAGAUAAAUUAACCUAUAAACAGCGUGCUCUUUCUGGUGGAGUCCUCUAAUGGCCUGAUUUAGGAUAUCAGCAGAUGGGAGGAGGUUUCUGCAGAGGGUAAUAGAUUCGAGGAGUACUGCAGCAUCAGAGAAGUGCCUAGUCCCUCUUCCAGACAUCUUUGAGAAGAGCCUGAAAGAACUGUGGAGGACGCGAGAAGCAGCUAAAGGCUCUGAGUUCAGCAUCAGUCUUGCUUUCAAAGAGGCUUUUAGAGGGCAAGAAAACUUUCCUGAGAUACUCAUCCUAAUCAAGGAUUAGGAUCAAUGGGAGAAGGAAAUCUUUUGUGCACACAAAGACACGUGUACGAUACCAAGAGGAUAUUUCUGCCCUUGAAGAGCUUACCAUUUUGCCCGAAAUACAAUAUAAAUAAUGUGUUAAGCAAACCACAAAUAAAGUGCCUUGAAUUACAGAAG